rnacentral:tRNA from 1 species
GGUGGCGUAGCUCAGUUGGUAGAGCAGCGGACUGAAAAUCCGCGUGUCGCUGGUUCGAUUCCGGCCGCCACCA